CGAUGGAUUAAAUUGAUCAUGCUCACNUGACUNGGCGGCAGGCUAACACAUGCAAGUCGAACGUAGCACAGAGAGCUUGCUCUUGGGUGACGAGUGGCGGACGGGUGAGUAAUGUCUGGGAAACUGCCCGAUGGAGGGGGAUAACUACUGGAAACGGUAGCUAAUACCGCAUAACGUCUUCGGACCAAAGUGGGGGACCUUCGGGCCUCAC
rnacentral:rRNA from 1 species